rnacentral:rRNA from 1 species
AUUGAACGCUGGCGGCAUGCUUUACACAUGCAAGUCGAACGGUAACAGGUCGCACGGUGCUCACGAGUGGCGAACGGGCGAAUAAUGCUUCGGAACGGGCCCAGACGACGGGGAUAACUACCUGAUAGUGUAGCUAAUACCGCAUACCAACUAUGGAUGUCAGCGGGGGACCGUACGGCCUCGUGCGAUUCGAGCUGCUGAUGUCAGAUUAGGUAGUUGGUGGGGUAAAGGCUCACCACGCCAACGAUCUGUAGCUGGUCUGAGAGGAGGACCAGCCACACUGGGACUGAGACACGGCCCAGACUCCGACGGGAGGCAGCAGUGGGGAAUUUUGGACAAUGGGCGCAAGCCUGAUCCAGCAAUGCCGCGUGGAGGAAGAAGGCCUUCGGGUGGUAAACUACUUUUGUACGGAACGAAACAGCUCUGGUUAAGACCCGGAGGUAAUGACGGUACCGGAAGAAUAAGCACCGGCUAACUACGUG